GAUGAACGCUGGCGGCGUGCCUAAUACAUGCAAGUCGAACGAACGGACGAGAAGCUUGCGUCUCUGAUGUUAGCAGCCGACGGGUGAGUCACACGUGGAUAACCUACCUCUCAGACUGGGAUGACUUCGGGAAACAGGAGCUAAUACCGGAAAAUAUUUUGCACCGCGUGGGUCAAAAGUUAAAGACGAUCGUCUUGUCACUGAUAGAUGGGUCCGCGCUCGAUUAGCUAGUUGGUAGGGUAACAGCCUACCAAGGCAACGAUCCAUAGCCGGCCUGAGAGGCUGAUCAGCGACACUGGGACUGAGACACGGCCCAGAAUCCUACGGGAGGAAGCAGUGGGGAAUAUUGGACAAUGGGAGAAAGCCUGAUCCAGCAAUGCCGCGUGAGUGAUGAAGGCCUGAGGGUUGUAAAGCUCUUUUACCCGGGAUGAUAAUGACAGUACCGGGAGAAUAAGCUCCGGCUAACUCCGUG
rnacentral:rRNA from 1 species